rnacentral:misc_RNA from 1 species
UCCGGUUUGGCACCGGCAGUCUCCCAUGAGUCCCCGACAUAACUCGCUGGCAACAUGGGAUAGGGGUUGCGCUCGUUGCGCCACUUAAGGCAACACCUCACGGCACGAGCUGACGACAGCCAUGCACCACCUGUGAUCCUGCCCCUAAGGGAAACCGUGUUUCCACGGCUGUCACCUACAUGUCAAGCCCAGGUAAGGUUCUUCGCGUUGCGUCGAAUUGAACCACAUGCUCCGCUGCUUGUGCGGGUCCCCGUCAAUUCCUUUGAGUUUUAGCCUUGCGGCCGUACUCCCCAGGCGGGGCACUUAAUGCGUUAGCUACGGCACGGAAGGAGUCGACACCUCCCACACCUAGUGCCCAUCGUUUACGGCGUGGACUAC